CCCUUAGAUGUUCUGGACCGCACGCGCGCUACACUGACGAAUGCAACGAGCUUAUAACCUUGUCCGAAAGGUCUGGGUAAUCUCCAAAUUUCGUCGUGAUGGGGAUAGAUUAUUGCAAUUAUUAAUCUUCAACGAGGAAUGCCUAGUAAGCGCAAGUCAUCAGCUUGCGUUGAUUACGUCCCUGCCCUUUGUACACACCGCCCGUCGCUCCUACCGAUUGGGUGUUCCGGUGAGGAUUCAGGACUCGGAGUGUUUCCUGUCUUGAGGUUCUGCUUCUCGACAGAGCUCUGGGAAAUUUAUUCAAAUCUUAACACUUAGAGGAAGGAGAANUCGUAACA
rnacentral:rRNA from 1 species